AAUAGGAGAAAAGCAAACAAAUUUAUUAACUUGCAUAAGCAUGGAGCCAUGUAAAAUAUGAGACUCAAGGAAGGGCCAGAUGGAGCUUACAUAGUUCCCUCUUCACAGAAGAGAGGGAGAUGGGGGAAUACAGGCUAUUUUGAGGGAUAAUAAUAUGGUUUGGCUGUGUCCCCACCCAAAUCUCACCUUGAGUUGUAAUAAUCCCCAUGUGUCAAGGGCUGGGCCAGGUGGAGAUAAUUGAAUCAUGGGGGCAGUUUCCCCCAUACUGUUCUGGUGGUAGUGAUUAAGUCUCAUGAGAUCUGAUGGUUUUAUAAAUAGGAGUUCCCCUGCACAAGCUCUCUUGCCUGCCUCCAUGUAAGAUGUGACUUUGCUCCCCAUUUGCCUUCAGUCAUGACUGUGAAGCCUCUCCAGCCAGGUGGAACUGUGAGUCAAUCAAACCUCUUUCCUUUAUAAAUUACCCAGUCUCAGGUAUGUCUUUAUUAGUAGCACGAGCACAGACUAAUACAGUAAAUUGGUACCAGGAGUGGGGUGCUGCUGUAAAGAUACCCAAAAAUGUGGAAGCAACUUUGGAAAUGGGUAACAGGCAGAGGCUGGAACAGUUUGGAGGGCUCAGAAGAAGACAGGAAAAUGUGGGAAAGUUUGGAACCUCCUAGAGACUUGUUGAAUGGCUUUGACCAAAAUGCUGAUAGUGACAGGGACAAUAAAGUCCAGGCUGAGGUGGUCUCCGAUGGAGAUAAGGAACAUAUUGGGAACUGGAAUAAAGAUCACUCUUGCUACGCAAAGAGUCCAGUGGCAUUUUGUCCCUGCCCUAGAGGUCUGUGGAACUUUGAACUUGAGAGAGAGGAUUUAUAGUAUCAGGUGGAAGAAAUUUCUAAGUGGCAAAGCGUCAAGAGGAAGCAGAGCAUAAAAGUUUGGAAAAUUUACAGCCUGACAAUGUGAUAGAAAAGAAAACCCCAUUUUCUGGGGAGAAAUUCAAGCCAGCUGCAGAAAUUUGCAUAAGUAAUAAGGAGCCAAACGUUAAUCACCAAGACAAUGGGGAAAAUGUCCCCAGGGCAUGUUAGAGACCUUUGCGGCAGCCCCUCCCAUCAUAGGCCCAGCAGCCUAGGAGGGAAAAAUGGUUUCUUGGGCUGGGUCCAGGGACCCCCUGCUGUGUGCAGCCUUGGGAUUUGGUGCCCUGCAUCCCAGCUGGUCCAGCCGUGGCUAGCAGGGGCCAAGGUACAGCUGGGGCCAUGGCUUCAGGAGGUGCAAGCCCCAAGCCUUUGCAGCAUCCACAUGGUGUUAAGCCUGCAGGUGCACAGAAGCCAAGAACUGAGGUCUGGGAACCUCUGCCUAGAUUUCAGAGGAUGUAUGGACACACCUGGAUGUCCAGGCAGAGGUGUGCUGCAGGGGCAGAGCCCUCAUGGAGAACCUCUGCUAGGGCAGUGCAGAAGGGAAAUGUGGAGUGGGAGCCCCCACACAGAGUCCCUACUGGGACACUGCCUAGUGGAGCUGGGAGAAGAGGACCACCAUCCUCCAGACCCCAGAAUGAUAGAUCCACCAACAGCUUGCACUGUGCGCCUGGAAAAGCCACAGACACUCAACACCAGCCCGUGAAAACAACUGGGAGAGAGGCUGUACCCUGCAAAGCCACAGGGGCAGAGCUGCUCAAGACCAUGGGAACCUACCCCUUCCAUCAGGAUGACUUGAAUGUGAGAUAUGGAGUUAAAGGAGAUCAUUUCGCAGCUUUAAGAUUUGACUGCCACAUUGGAUUUUAGACUUGCAUGGGGCCUGUAGCCCCUAUGUUUUGGCCAAUUUCUCCCAUUUGGAAUGGGUAUAUUUACUCAAUGCCUGUACCCCUCAUUGUAUCUAGAAAAUAACUAACUAGCCAGGCGCGGUGGCUCACGCCUGUAAUCCCAGCACUUUGGGAGGCCGAGGUGGGCGGAUCACCUGAGGUCAGGAGUUUGAGACUAGCCUGGCCAACAUGGUGAAACCCUGUCUCUACUAAAAAUAUAAAAAUUAGCCGAGCAUGGUGGCAGGUGCCUGUAAUCCCAGCUACUCGGGAGGCUGAGGCUGGAGAAUUGCUUGAACCCGGGAGGUAGAGGUUCAAAUUCCUGACCUCGGGUGAUCCGCCCGCCUCUGCCUUGCAAAAUGCUGGGAUUGUAGGUGUGACAGACCAUGUCUGGCCGGGUAUGUCUUUAUUAGCAGUGUGAGAACAAACUAACACAGGCAGUGAAUGAUUUUUAGGAGAACUGAGUGGACCCAAAGAGCAGAGAGUAGUU
rnacentral:lncRNA from 1 species